rnacentral:rRNA from 1 species
GACGAACGCUGGCGGCGUGCUUAACACAUGCAAGUCGAACGGAAAGGCCCUGCUUUUGUGGGGUGCUCGAGUGGCGAACGGGUGAGUAACACGUGAGUAACCUGCCCUUGACUUUGGGAUAACUUCAGGAAACUGGGGCUAAUACCGGAUAGGAUCUCCUGCUGCAUGGUGGGGGUUGGAAAGUGUCGGCGGUUGGGGCUGGACUCGCGGCUUAUCAGCUUGUUGGUGGGGUAGUGGCUUACCAAGGCUUUGACGGGUAGCCGGCCUGAGAGGGUGACCGGCCACCUUAGGCCUGAGAUACGGACCAGACUCCUACGGGAGGCAGCAGUGGGGAAUCUUGCACAAUGGGCGGAAGUCUGAUGCAGCAACGCCGCGUGCGGGAUGACGGCCUUCGGGUUGUAAACCGCUUUCGCCUGUGACGAAGCGUGAGUGACGGUAAUGGGUAAAGAAGCACCGGCUAACUACGUG